GCUGGGCGUGGUGGUGCAUGCCUGUAAUCCUAGCUACCUAGGAGGCUGAGGCAGGAGAAUUGCUUGAACCCAGGAGGCAGAGUUUGCAGUGAGCCGAGAUUGUGCCACUGCAAUUCAGCCUGGGCAAAAGACCAAGAAUCUGUCUCAA
rnacentral:SRP_RNA from 1 species